GCCGGGAUAGCUCAGUAGGUAGAGCAGAGGCCUGAAAAGCCUUGUGUCCGUGGUUCAAAUCCGCGUCUCGGCACCA
rnacentral:tRNA from 1 species